rfam:Otolemur garnettii contig069877, whole genome shotgun sequence.
GCCAGGCAUUGUGACGGGUGCCUGUGGUCCCAGCUACUUGGGAGGCAGAGGCAGGAGACUAGCUUGAGCCCAGGAGUUGGAGGUUGCUGUGAGCUGUGAUGCCAUGGCACUCUACCCAAGGGAAUAGCUUGAGGCUCUGUCUCACUAUAUACUGAGGGAACGAUCCAACAAAAAGACAUUUCUUUUUUUUGAGACAGAGCCUCAAGCUGUCCCCCUGGGUAGAGUGCUAUAGCAUCACAGCUCACAGCAACCUCCAACUCCUGGGCUCAAGCU